rnacentral:rRNA from 1 species
UACGAAGGGGGCAAGCGUUGUUCGGAAUGACUGGGCGUAAAGGGCGCGUGGGCGGUUCGUUGCGUCAGAUGUGAAAGCCCCGGGCUCAACCUGGGAACUGCAUUUGAUACGGGCGGGCUUGAAUCCAAGAGAGGGUGGUGGAAUUCCCAGUGUAGAGGUGAAAUUCGUAGAUAUUGGGAAGAACACCUGUGGCGAAGGCGGCCCCCUGGUUGGAUACUGACGCUGAUACGCGAAAGCGUGGGGAGCAAACAGG